AUGAAUUGUGAAAAGGAAUUAGUUGCUACGUAAAUUUAGGUAGUAUAUUAACUUCGGUUAAAGACUUUAUAUUCACGCCUGUAAGUAGUUCUGCUGAGUGCCGCUAGAGGCGUGUAAGUGACAGCGUGACGUCACAACGCGGCCAGCUGUGACCUGUGCGCCGAGCGAGUCAGAGUAGAAUGGGGCGAACCGCCUUCGAGUGGACACGUGUGCGGGAAGAAGUUCGCGCACUAAACGAAAAUGCGGGCGUGCUGGUGUAGCGGAUUCUGGCAUUUGAGCUUCGACACGAACAUCAGGCCUGCUUUUGGAUGGCGCCUACUGCGACAAUCGACACUGCAGGCAACCCGCGUCGCACCACCCCUUAAGCGUGCUGCAACCCGCGCGCCAACACCUUUCAUCCACAGUGACGCGGACAUCUGUAAGCUCUAGCCACUUGCCUGUUCAUCGCGGCCUCAGACCAGUGCGAGCUGUGACUGCUUCGCAUGAAGGGAAACUGCAAAUGAAGACCAGCCUCUACCAUCGCCAUAACUGAAUCAAAACCAUUUUUUCAUAGUUUCUUUAGGAAUUAACAGUUAAGUAAUAAUUAAUUAACAGGUGAUAGUGUUUAAAUUUCUGAAAUACCCUUCUCCAACAUUUAUUCUAAUAAAAUUGUGUAUUGAAUCUUUCGAAUUCUGAUGGUUCGACUGCCCAUUCUCUAGUCAAAAUUCAUUAUGAUGGCUACCAUAUUUCUUAAUUUGCCUCAACUCCCAUGCAUGUUUAUCUUCAAUGUAUCUACUGGAUUUGUUUAUACAAAACUCAGUUCAGCCGGAGUACAUUUGAUGGCAUGGACAGGUAUACACAUACGUAUGCUCAUAACCAUUAAUUAUUAUUCUUUUACAAAUAAAUACUUAAAAAGAGAAUUUUGUUGCUCUGCAACACUUUCAGAUUGCAAUUCAAAUUAUUUGAUAGUAACUGCAGAUAUUUUUAAGAUGUCAUCAUUGAUAAUUAUGUUCCUACUGUCACAAUGUCAUUAGGUGCUGACAUUACACUAAGUUAAAUGAAGAAAAUUAACAAUUUCUUGUUCCAGUCACUAUGAGCAUUAUAUAUAUAUAUAU